AUUCACUAUAGUUACUGUACUGUGCCAUAGAACACCAGAACUGAUUCCUCCUAUAUAACUGAAAGAUUGUACCUAUUAACUCUCCGCAUCCACACCAUCCCUUCAUCCCCUGCCUGUAAAACCACCAUUCUACUCCCUGCUUCUAUGAGUUCAACUAUCUGAGAUUCCACAUGAGUGAGAUCAUAUGGUAUUUGCUUCCCCGUGUCCGGCUUAUUUCAUGUAACAUAAUGUCCUUUAGGUCCAUCCGUGUUGUCACAAAUAACAUAAUUUUAUUUUUUAAAAAAGGCAUAUACAUAUAAGGUGGGUUUGCUAGAUGAUAUGGUAAUUUUAUUUUUAGUUUUUUGAGGAACCUCCUUAUUGUUUUCCAAAAUAGCUGUGCUAACUUACAAUACUACCAACAGUGUAUAAGGGUUUCACAUCCUCCUCAACCCUCUGUGGGUACAUAGUAGGCGUAUGU
rnacentral:lncRNA from 10 species